rnacentral:rRNA from 1 species
GACGAACGCUGGCGGCGUGCUUAACACAUGCAAGUCGAACGCUGAAGCUCAGCUUUUGUUGGGUGGAUGAGUGGCGAACGGGUGAGUAACACGUGAGUAACCUGCCCCCUUCUUUGGAAUAACGCCCGGAAACGGGUGCUAAUACUGGAUAUUCACUGGUCUUCGCAUGGGGGUUGGUGGAAAGGGUUUUUCUGGUGGGGGAUGGGCUCGCGGCCUAUCAGCUUGUUGGUGGGGUGAUGGCCUACCAAGGCUUUGACGGGUAGCCGGCCUGAGAGGGUGACCGGUCACAUUGGGACUGAGAUACGGCCCAGACUCCUACGGGAGGCAGCAGUGGGGAAUAUUGCACAAUGGGCGCAAGCCUGAUGCAGCGACGCCGCGUGAGGGAUGGAGGCCUUCGGGUUGCGAACCUCUUUCGCUCAUGGUCAAGCCGCAACAAUGGUUGUGGUGAGGGUAGUGGGUAAAGAAGCGCCGGCUAACUACGUG